AACAGUAUAGUUUAUAAAUCUAAGUGAAAUAUAUGAAAAUUUAAACUUCAAUUUUUAAGUGGAACUAUUUUAAGUAACCUCUAAAGACCACAACUAUAAGAAAACCUUUAGAAGAGAACAACAACAACAAAAACAUUUUUCUUCUUUUUUUCUAUACACAAACUUGACUCGACUUACUAUGGCUUUUACGGAAAAGCAACUUUUGUCACUGAGUUUAUAUUCGAACUUGCACGCGUUGAAACCAAUUAUUAAGGAAUGUGUACAUCAUCAGCAAUGAAUCUUGUCAUAGGUAAGCACAAAAAGACUAGAAUAAUAAGAUUGUUUCUCUAACAUCGUCCUCGCAUCCAAAUCAUCAUUUGUUAUUUCUGUCAAAACACAUUCCAAAAGGCCAACUCAGACAAUAUCUGUCUAUAUAUACCUAUAAUAAAAGCAAAGAAGGUAUCGUGCAACUUCCGAAUAAGGAGAAACAAAUUUAACAUUCCAACUUCUUCAUAACCAAAUGGAACAUACAUAAAAUUGCAACCAAACCAAACUAAGCCAAAAGCCAAACUGAUACAGGAAGGUAAAAUGUGAUGUUAGAAGAAUUGCUGCUGCAAUUCCUUUACCUUUCCACAUUUGGAUAUGUUCCAGCAGCACAGAAAACUUUAGUUGGAAUUGAUAUAGUCGCUUCGUUAAUCGUGGCUAUAUUCUGAAUUUGAAUAUUUGAAUUGUCGAUGUCAGGUAUGUGAAAAGUUGUUUAUCCAAAACAACAAGAUUUUAUAUUGUUGAUCAAAGUUGUAUAGUUUUGUGCAAACACAAAAGAGAAAUAAAAAACAUUUAAUCAGUAAAUGAUACAAAUUUGAAGUUUCAAACACUUAAUUUUACUUUACUAAUAAAAAUCAUAGAAAUCCAAUGACAAGUCUUCACAAAAUUUUAUUUGAAAGUUUUAAAUCACAAAUACUCUCAAAACUUAGACAGACCCUCAAAAUCCUAGAAAAAAAGUUGAUUGAACUAGAAAAAAAAUUCUAUCAUUCAAGGUACUUUCCGUGAUUGUUAGAAGGAAUCGACUCUAUACAAGCAUGUUUGGUUUCCUCUCUUUUAUCUACCUAUUGCUAUUGGUAUGAAAGUUCGUUGUUUUUCAAGAUAAAAAUUUUUUCGACGCAUUCAAUCGUCGAUUUCUCUACAGAACAUCGUGUAUUUUCUUCACCGAACAGUCAUAAACCAAGUAAAACUGAAAUUGAAAAAUUUUUGGAAAUGGAUUUUUUUUGAAUGACCUACCUAUAAAAUUUUAAAAUACAAAAAAGUGCCAAUAUAAAAUAAGGAUUUUGCAAUUUUUUUACUAACAAAAUUUCGAAUUUCAGAGAUCUAAGCCGAAAAUUUUAAUCUUAAACCAACUCAUUAUUGUAAAUUUUGGAAUUUUAGUCGAUGGAAAAAACAAUUAAAAACUCUUAGGAAAGAGAAAGUAACUAACUUUUGUAUACGUAGGUACUUUUAAUUUUAGUAAAAGCAAAAAUGACGUGUUGAAGAAGUUCAGUUCUAUUUUUAAUACUGAUUUAAGCGAAUGAGCGGCGAGAAUAAUUUUUCCCAUUUUCCUGAAUACUAUGAAGAAGAGUGAAUAUUUUGUAGAGCUCAAAAUGCAAGCAGAGAGAUCCUUUAGUUUUUUGACGUGAUAACGUCUUAUAAAUCGAUGAACCAUGACAGUAUCCACGAAAAAGAUACGCCAUUUUCUGAAAUUUUUAGCAGUGAGGCAAAAAUUGUAAUUCAAAAUUCAUUAAAAAUAAACUAUUGGAGAUACGAUACGUUGAUUUUUUGUUUAUCUAUAGAUAAAUUUAAUGUACGAUUAACAAUGGAAUUGAACAAAUUUUUUAAAAUUCCGAAACCAAAUUAUAAAUGUUUUUUUUAAACUAAAACAUAAAGUAGACCUUUGAAAAAGUAGUGAUUAUCGGAAGGGGAAAUUUGUUUUUUACAAUUUGAAAAAUACCAUUCAAAAGGUAAUAAAAAACGAUGAGGUGUCUAUUACGGAUUUUUUAUUUAAAUUUUUUUAUCAAGGUGCUUUUCAACAAUUUAAAUAAAUUGACAGACAACUUAGAAUAUAUUUAUGCAAAUAUAUAUACUAAUUAGUAACCUACUCGACUCCACUCACGAAUAGAUAUUGCGUGGAUGCGAGGUUUGGGUUUAUGUUAAGUUUUUUUAAAAAAAGACUUGUGAAGUUAUUCCAAAGUUUACUUUUCUAGAGAAGUUAAACAUCCAUUCAAACGAUUUACAAUAACAAAUUUUUGAUCGUUUUUAACGUAAUUCCUGUUUGAUAAGUAUAAUCUUGUGUUAAAUUUGUACUGCUUAUGUUACGUUGGCUUUUGCUUUUUCUUAUCAAUUGCUCUCUUUUUUGUUCUCUUUUUUUUCUUCUAGGUACUCUUUUUUUUUUUAAGGUUCGAGAGUAAAAUGUUCUCUUUUUAGUAAGGUCCCAAAUGGACACCCUAGAUAACGGUAAAAUAAAGUUCUAGGUAUAUUUCAACACGUUCUUUCUUUUGAUCUAGAGCAGAUAAGAAUUUUAUUUAACUUUAUUGAGCAUGCUGAUAAUAUUACCUUGCAUUUGAUAUAUCACGCAUAACGGUACAAAUGUUAAAUUAAAAAACUUCAGAAAUACCUCAAAACACCUGAGAUUUGUUGCCCAUGACCAGACCAGCCACCAGUGUGGGAAGUACCGUAUUCUCAGUUUAAAUUUUCGACAUGGUUGGAUUUAACAAAUUCUUACUUUUUUUGUAGGCAUCGUAGAAAUAUAGGUACAUAAUUGAAGAGCAAUAUAAAAGGUGAAAUAAUAAACUUUCAGAUGAUAUAAAAUUUAUUUUAGGUUGUCAUUUAAAAAAAAUGGACUUUAAGGUAAUUGAAAAAAAGAAGAUUGAUUUUCUUGCUUUUUUCUAUGAAAAUUGAUCGGGUUCAAAAUAUUUUAGCUCUUUUUUUAGAUGUGUUGCAGACAUGGUUGAUAUAAAUAUUUUUAGCUGAAACAAUAGGCUUUCAGAUGGUAUAAAAUUUAUAUUUAAAAAAUUGGAUUUAAUGGUUUUAGAAGAAAAAAAGUUUGAUUUUAUCAAUUUUUCAUGAAAAAUUAUUGUUUUC